rnacentral:rRNA from 1 species
UACGGGGGGGGUAAGCGUUGUUCGGAAUUACUGGGCGUAAAGGGCUCGUAGGCGGCCAACUAAGUCAGACGUGAAAUCCCUCGGCUUAACCGGGGAACUGCAUCUGAUACUGGAUGGCUUGAGUUCGGGAGAGGGAUGCGGAAUUCCAGGUGUAGCGGUGAAAUGCGUAGAUAUCAGGAAGAACACCCGUGGCGAAGGCGGCUCUCUGGGACGGUACUGACGCUGAGACGCGAAAGCGUGGGGAGCGAACAGG